GACGUAGGGCGCGAGCGUUGUCCGGAUUUAUUGGGCGUAAAGAGCUCGUAGGCGGCUUGUUGCGUCGUCCGUGAAAACCUGCAGCUCAACUGCAGGCUUGCGGUCGAUACGGGCAGGCUGGAGUUCGGUAGGGGAGAUCGGAAUUCCUGGUGUAGCGGUGAAAUGCGCAGAUAUCAGGAGGAACACCGGUGGCGAAGGCGGAUCUCUGGGCCAUUACUGACGCUGAGGAGCGAAAGCGUGGGGAGCGAACAGG
rnacentral:rRNA from 1 species